rnacentral:rRNA from 1 species
AGUGAACGCUGGCGGUAGGCCUAACACAUGCAAGUCGAACGGCAGCACAGUAAAAGCUUGCUCUUACGGGUGGCGAGUGGCGGACGGGUGAGGAAUACAUCGGAAUCUACUUUUUCGUGGGGGAUAACGUAGGGAAACUUACGCUAAUACCGCAUACGACCUACGGGUGAAAGCAGGGGAUCUUCGGACCUUGCGCGAUUGAAUGAGCCGAUGUCGGAUUAGCUAGUUGGCGGGGUAAAGGCCCACCAAGGCGACGAUCCGUAGCUGGUCUGAGAGGAUGAUCAGCCACACUGGAACUGAGACACGGUCCAGACUCCUACGGGAGGCAGCAGUGGGGAAUAUUGGACAAUGGGCGCAAGCCUGAUCCAGCCAUACCGCGUGGGUGAAGAAGGCCUUCGGGUUGUAAAGCCCUUUUGUUGGGAAAGAAAAGCAGCAGGUUAAUACCCCGCUGUUCUGACGGUACCCAACGAAUAAGCACCGGCUAACUUCGUG